rnacentral:lncRNA from 1 species
UUUUAUUUAAAAGAAAAAUAUUUUUAGUGAUUUUAGAUUUGAUUUUGAGAGUCGCCACUUAAUUUUAGAAAAAUCAAGAAACCUUUGUUUUCAAAAGAUCAAAACACGAAAUUGAUCAAAAACGUUAAACAGGAUUCAAGGGCUCUUAUUAAUAUUUUAGGAAGAUUUUUAUGAGACCUAAAAUACUCGCGUUACUCCGAUUAUCCAAAAACUAAAAUGUUUGGCUAAAAGAUUUAACUUAGUUAGAAUUGAAAAAUUAUUUAGAAUUUGUAAAAAGAGAGAUAUUAAACUAUUAUCUAAGUGAGACUUUUUAACUUACAAAAUUCCUAUUGUUUUAAAAUAUAUAGACAUGAUUGAUUUCAUUGAAUUAUUAAAACGAAAUAACGUCUUGCGGAGGAUUUGAUUUUUUUAAUCCUAAGACUAACAGAAAUUAACUACAGAUAAGUAAGUGAUAAAGUAAAAGAGAGAGAGAGAGAGAGUUGGGUCCAAAUCCACUUUCUGUCUAUCUAGACCGGUAUUUCGACCCAUUUCAUUUUGUACCUAUCCUAGACUAAUUAGACAAUCUGUAAAUAAUGAAUACGGAAAAGAAAAGACAACAAGGGCUUAGGCCCAACGAUAACAAAAUACAACGCUCUGAAAAAAAAUAAAGUUGGACUCUUUUGUCCAAUUUCUUCAACUUCUUAAUCUGUUUGAAUCCUUUCAACUUGGGACCUGUACGUUAAUUUUAUGAGUUUGACUCGAAAGGAAUUGAGCUUUGAAGGCUCUCUUGAAUGACGCAGAAGGAAGUAGGGGUUCACGAUGAACCCGAGUUGAUUUCAGAUGCAACAAUAAAAAAUAACGAUAAAAGUUAGUACUCAAAUAAUGUUAUUUCCAAAUCAUAGCUUAACUAUGAUCAAUCAGUCCUAAAAUAACAAAUUCAUCAAAAGAGAAUCACUGCUUAACACACAUAAACCAGAAACCGGCAAGCAAAUCGAUUACAAACAUAUGUCAAAUACCUGACAAGCUCAAAACAGAGAAGAAAAUAGAUCUUUUGAAUGUACUAAAUGCGUAAACACAUUCUCCGUGCACUUCAAACUGACAAUAAUAAAAAAAAUGAACAAGAAAUCAAGGUCAACCUUCGGUUAGUACUAACAUAGUUCUGCUUCCAAUAAUUUCUCUAAGUACGACAUCGAAGCUAUUUAAAAUAUAAGGCAAUAACUGGAAUAUAUAACAUAGAUAAUGGAAACAAACAAAAAUGCAGAUGACUCGCAGACAUAUCAAAAUGAUGGUUAUUAAUAGAGAACUUGAGUUGGAAACUGUGUUGAAUAAAGAUGCUUAUUAAUACUAUAUGAUUCAUUAUACUACACUUGAUGAAGAAGAAAGCUCUAUGCUAGAGAAUGCCUGACCACCAAUAAAAGAUGGCACACGAAUUCUCCGAAAAAAUAAAAUACAACAGCUUAAGGAACGAAAAGAAUGAACAGUAGACAACAAACUUGGAAAGAGAGACUAGAAACCAGGACACAUUAUGGUAUGAAAGACAGAGAAUGAACCCUAUAUUUCGAAGCAGACUCGACAAUCAUUCGAAUGAGGAAGUUCGAAACAAAAUGUAAUGCAUACAAGGCACAACACUUAAAAAGCUCGACAUAUUGUUGCCUUCAAUACACUAGGGGUGAAAGAAAGAAGAAUAUGACGUUAUGCAUUGAACAUUAAAACUAAUGUAACACUUUCAACUUAAGCACAACAAUGCUAGGAAAGUCCAAAAUAAGAACAACAAACAGAUGAUGACCAGCCCCCAAUAUCCACAUGCAUAUUCAUGUCAUAUUCCGGACUAAAUACACGAUAGAACAAAUAAUACCAACUCUUAUUCAUAACCACCAGCAAACAAACAACUGAAAUGAACUAAAGUUGACACAAGAGAGAAGGAACUGAAAAAUAGCUUGAGGAACUAUACGAACAAAAAUAAAGCUAUGCUACUGAUUUGAAGUCUGCAACAAGUCGAAACAACCCAAUCUUCUAAUUAGUUUGGAAGUCAAAACAUGCCAAUACGCUAAAGUAUGAAUCGUGAUUCGAUGUUACCUUUUUUCGCAAAGCGUUUUGAGACAAACGGACAGGGGACGACCACCACAAGAACCUAAACACGAGCAGCAGUUGAGAACUUAAGCAAAAUAUCGAACUCAACACCUAAAUUAAAGAGUUCUUCCUCCGUUUUCUUUGAAAACCUGUUUUACUUAUCUUAGGCUAUCUCACUGAAACUUUAUAAGUAUUUUCUUUUCCUAAGAAUCCAACUUCAAACUAAAACCUUUAACAAUUUUCUCCACUAAAAUCUCCAAACUCGACAAUAUCUAGUAACUCCCUUUUGUUUUUCAAAAAUUUCCUCCCUCCCUCACAGUGAAAAAAAGAUGUUAUACAUAGGGGAAAUUAUGGUCUAGAAUAUUUGAGGGGGAGGGGGGAGGAUGGAUUCCCCGAAUUCAAGGGCUCAUCCUCGAUUCAAAUUCGAAAAAGUUCACUGUUAAAGGGAAACACCCUUUUUUCUGAAAUUUGGACCCUUUCGGGAAGAGGAAAGGGCGACAGACGGCUGGGAUGAUUCUCGUGUCCUUGGAGUGAGACGUGUCUUGAUGCUAUAAAGCUCUUAUGGGUCUUCCUGUUGAAGAAGAACUUUGGGCCGGGUUGACAGAAUUAAGAAUGGGCUUGGAAAUUGGGUUUAAAGAAGGGAAGGGCUGCUGGUUUUAUUAAUGUUGGGCUGGGAAUUUCUUGGGUAUUAAAGAUUGGAAAAAUGAGUUGAGCGGGCUUGAUUAAUGAAUUAAGGAAGAAGGCCCAAAGUUGAUUUCUCGUCAAGAGUUGACGAUCAAUUAAGUUCGGCCAAUCUUGAUAAAGACG